AGAAUAAAAAAUAAUAAUAGCUUUAAUAAGAUAUUUUUAAAAGUUGAGUGCUCUCAUCUCCUCCGUCUUACCAAAACCCCACAAACCAGAGUCCCCUUUAAUGGCCGUAGCCUGCGUCCAUGGCAGACCCGCCUGCCACACCUGCAAUUAUCUCCCCAAAUCAGCCCCUCCAACCCACAAAUCCUCUGAAGACUGAAAAAUCAGUCCUAAAUCUGUAUAACAACGGAAAAAGAGUCCCGAAUCGCCAGUAAUGGCUUCAAAAGAUGAAGAUUUGUUCAGAAUCUUUAAGAAAUUCAAAUCGUUUUCUUAACAUUUUGUUCAAAUCCAGACUUUGGAGUCCGGAUUUCAGGCUAUAAAUAGCCGAAUUUCACUUCCUACGGUAGGGCAGCGAAAAAACAAGGGAAAGAUUAGGAGAAAAAGCAAAAUCUUGCGAGAAGUAAAAAUUAGCAAAAAAAAAAAAAAAAGGAGAGAAGAAGCAAAUCCAAAAAAAAAAAACAGUGAGUGAAAGCUUCAAAUCCAUGAGAAAAACAGGAGUGAAAAAGAAGGAGAAAGGGGUCUCAAAUUUCUUAGUCUUCUGUCUGACUUUGUCUAAAUUUAAAGUUCCGAAGUUUGGGUUACUCUUUGGAAUCUCAACGUCGAAGCCUCAGGUUUGCUGCAACCUAAAAGGUGCGGGCCCACCCCUCUCUGGUUCUUGGUUUCGUUUCUUUUCUUCUCAUCUAUUUUUAGCUUUGUCGAAUAUAAGAGUCAUUUUGAUUUCGGAGCUAUGUUGUUACUGCUGCCCUGGCCUUGCAAAUAAGAGUUGUGGUUUGUGAAUCUGAGGAUUGUUUGGUGCUGAAUACAUGAGUUUAUGCAUGUGUUUAUCUCGUUCUUCGAAAAUUUCGAUGAGCAUGAUUUGGAUAUUAAAAGUUCAGUUUGUAUGUGAACGAGUUUGCGAGUAUAUGAAUAAGGCGUUUUCGUUCAAUCGGAUUUAAAGGUUCUUUGUCAAUUUUGAGAGAAAAAAUGAUUUCGAACAUGAAUUCUGAUCAAUUUUUUUUUUAUUGGGUCUAUAGUGAGUUUACACGUGAUUCUUUGAACCUGGGAAUGGAUUUGUAAGUAAAUGGAAAAACCAGUCCUUUAUUUCGUAUUACCUUUCAUUCGUCUUAAUUUGAUGGGUAAAUAAUGUGAUUGGUCCCGAACGUUGAAGUUUUGUUAAUAUGAAGAUAUUCCAUGUGCAAAUAUGGAAGUACGUAAGGCAUGAGAUAUAUGACUUUUCCAUGAAUUUAAGUUUGUCUCGAUUUCGGAUCCAUGGUUGAACAUGAAUUUGAUUCUAAAAAAAAAUAUAUUUUUGUCCACAAGUUUGUCAACAUAAAUCUGAUUUUUGACGUAAACAGGUAGAAAUAUUGUGGUUUGCUCUCUUAGAAUCAAGCUAAAAAUAUGAUCUCUUAUCGAUUUAUUUCAAUUGUUGACUGUUUGCACAAUUCAAUAAUUCGUUCUUAUCCUUGGUCCCAUUCUAUUUGUGGAUAUUGUGAUUUAGAGUAUUAAGUCAAUGUUGAGAUUGCAUUUUUGCCUAUGCGCCUAAAAGGUCAUAUGCCUAUUUUAUUCAUUGAAAAUUAAUAGCUCAUUUUACUGAUCAGUUAGCUCUUAUUUUUUCAGCAUGUAAACAUAAAUGUUUUCUACACUAGGAUCAAUAGGAUAGUGGGUGAACUUGAAUCAAAUAAGCUUCAUUUUUCUUUAGUGACUAAUCCCCAAUCAUUUGAAUUGUUGUUUGUUAAUUAGUUAUCAGCAUGUGAUAGCAAGAAAAGAAAUAUCCCAACUUGCACGAUAUAUGUAUUGUUAAUUAGUUAUCGGCAUGUGAUAGCAAGAAAAGAAAUAUCCCAACUUGCACGAUAUAUGUAGUGUUUUUGCUUCAACACAUGAAGGCUUGCUUUGCAAUGCCUUCGGUUCCUCUCAUUUAUAGAAUGAAUUUUUUACAAAAGUCUUUACAUUACUUACACAUUUUUUAAAAAUCCUAAAAAGUCUAUCCUAAAAAGUCUCCUUAUGAGACAAGAAUUAGUGUCAUAGGCUAAAAGGCUAAAAAGGCUACAAGAAUUAGUGCUAUAGCCUUAAAAAAGUUAAAAAGGCUAAAAAAAGGCUAAAAUCUAUGCAACAAUUCUAUACAACAAUUUUACGUAAAAAUUUAAUAUCUUGUCUUCUAUUAUUACUCCGUUGAUAUCUUCUCAUUAUCGUAUCUGCUGUUUUUCCAUAUCUCCAUUAUUGCUUCUUAUCUUAUCUUCCAGCUGGCAUGCUUAUUUUCUUGAUUCUUUUAUUCUAGGUGGACUUCUGGGAUAAUAUUAUCUUCUCCAUUACAUCUUGAACAUUGAUGGUCUAGAUAUUUAUGUCCAAUUAUCUUACAAUAUCUUGUCAAUAAUCCGUCUGAAAUAAAUCCUUUCUUAAUUGCUCUUGCAGUAGAUUGUUUUUUUGGGUUAAGUAAUGUCAUUAUCUAUUGCCUAACAUCUUCCAUAUCUGCUUGUCGUAGUUCUUUUGAAUUUGAAUAAAUCAUCUGAUGGUCUCUUGAAUAAUAGCUCCAUAUUGGGUUUCCAUUGGUAUAAUUAUUUGCUAAUUCUUGAAUAAUUGUAGCUAGUCCAAUGAGUCGUUUAUUUGCGUAGAAAUCUCUGGCUGUUGCGUAAUAGCUUCCGGUAUGAUCAUAUCUCUGGUUAGUUCUUAUUUUAUAACUUGUAUAACUGAUUUUAUUUCGGCGUAUAAUAUCUCUACUGGUGCAAUAUAACACUUUAUAUAAAAUAGAUUUCCUUUUGUUAUCCUUUUAUAGGUGGUGAAUAUUUUAUGUAAUUCUUCCAUAGCUGUUAGCUCUUCUCCGUCUUGGGUGUAUAUGGUAUUUAAUAAUCCAUAGUUAAAACAAGUUUUCACUAGGCUUGGGUUGGUUUUGGGUAGUGCAAUUAGCUUGUUGUAACCUUGUAAUUUUUGGGUUAUAUAAUUUGUGUUUGGUUCUUUGAUAUUUGUAGCUCUGGGGUUAAGGUUUAGGAAAGUUUGUAAGGUUUAGGAAAGUUUGUACUCUAUAGAUAUUUUUUAUAUAUUUUUGGGUUGUAUAGUUGUAAACUUUUUUAUCUUGGUUCAGACUAUCUCGGUAUGUGGUAAUUUGUGGGGCUAUGAACAAGGGGUCUUUUUGUGUUUUUGGUAUAAAUGGUUUCUCAAAUAUCUUAUUCAUAUUCAUGUUCUGAUAUCUUUGUCUACUAACUCCUUUGCUUGUACCAGCAGAAGUAGAUUGAUAAACGUUAUGGGUUUUAUGGAGUGUCCCGUCGUCUCCUUCUAGCUCUGGAACUUUAAUGUCUUUCGAUCGACAUAGCUCUGCACAUUGCUGAGUUAGCUGAUUUGUAGCUAU
rnacentral:lncRNA from 1 species